AUUCCCCCUCCAAAAGCUGGAUGGCAGCGAAAAACCCUUCCGAAGGCCUCAUUAGGACCCGGACAAGCCAGCCAGCAACGUAGAACAGGCCCUCCUCCUGGAUGCAAUCGCCAACAGUCUACAAGGUGGUAGGGAGGGCCAUUGAGGUCAUUGGAGCUGUUGAGGUGGAGGGGAUUGCGUCCUCUGAGAUACUGGCUAGGAGGGUUGUCCCGUCAUCCAGCUCGCAGUUUGAUGCAGCCGAUGCAAAAAGAGCAGGUAAAAUGUUGGCUACACUCAAACCCCUGAGUGCAGCGGUGAAUUCCCUCGCACUGGGAUUGUAUUUGUGCCCCCCUUUGCCCCGAAUCAAGGAGAAUAGGUUCUUAAAAAAUAAAAAAGCAGGUGGUCAAAAUCCUAGUUUUCAACAGGUAACUUUUUUAUUUGCAAAGUAAUAGUGUGUUGACCUACCUCAAUGCAG